GAGUUUGAUCCUGGCUCAGGAUUAACGCUGGCGGCGUGCCUAACACAUGCAAGUCGAGCGAGAAGUCGGAAGUGAAACUUCGGUGAAACGGAAGAUGGAAAGCGGCAGACGGGUGAGUAACGCGUGAAUAAUCAACCCUGCACAAAGGGAUAGCCUCGGGAAACCGGGAUUAAUACCAUAUGAAGUAUAUUAAUCGAAUGAUAGAUAUAUUAAAGUUUUUAACGGUGCAGGACGAGUUCGCGUCCCAUUAGCUAGUUGGUGAGAUAAAAGCUCACCAAGGCGACGAUGGGUAGCCGGCCUGAGAGGGUGAACGGCCACACUGGAACUGAGACACGGUCCAGACUCCUACGGGAGGCAGCAGCUAAGAAUCUUCCGCAAUGGGCGAAAGCCUGACGGAGCGACGCCGCGUGAACGAAGAAGGCCGAGAGGUUGUAAAGUUCUUUUCUUGAGGAAGAAUAAGGCAGGGAGGCAAUGCCCUGGUGAUGACGCUACUUGAGGAAUAAGCCCCGGCUAAUUACGUGCCAGCAGCCGCGGUAA
rnacentral:rRNA from 1 species